GGAAGCAGAUUUCUUGGGUCUGAAUUUUAGCUCUGCCAUUUACUUAGCCAUGAGAACCUGGGCAAGUUGCCUAAAAUGUCUGUGCGUCAGUUUCCCACAAAUGGCUGAAUUUCCACCAACUUACAAAGUUCAGAUAAAAUGCCACAAAUACCACAAACUUCUACUGGUUACAGAUUGUGGAAAAGCCAUUUCCCUUCUCUGAACAACUAUUAAUACCAUCUAGUACCAACUGUUAGUACCACUGCUUAUAUCAUCUAAAUAUAACUUCAAUCAGUUACUAUCUUA